UGGAGCGAAGAGACUGUAACUUCGCAAGAGAUGCAACGCAGAGAAUGCGCCAGAGACUGCAUUUCCGGUGCACAUCGUCCUCGCAUGAGAGUGUGAACUCAUUGCUCGAGAAAUAUUCUCUUCAAUAUUCAGAAUUAAGAUAAACUCCACACAUCUUUCCGAUCGACAUUUUAUCUUCUUAUCGAUGCGAAGUUUUUUUCGGCGGAAAACUAUUAUUUGGUCACUUAUGUCGCAAGUCAAAGAAUAUUACGAAAAUUCACCAGAGGUUUAAGAUUUAAUAUUCAUCGAUCGAUACAAAUUUUCUUUCGCGAAGAUUCAAACGGACUUCUUCGAGAAAACUCCGAACUUUCGAAGAGUACUACGGAUUCGUUACUGAGACGAUCAGCUAACAACUCAGUCCGACUGCUUUGACGCGCCGUAUCGUGUAUCACAUGUUGCAGCAUCGCGAAAAUGUACGCGCGAAGACCAUUCGAUUCGUCGGGAACGACGAAUAUCCCGCCUCCAGGUACAUGCGCACUGACUGCGCCGUAGGUUGAUUCGCUGCCGCAUCAUUAGCGGCAACCAGCCAGACACAGCUCUCGAUGGUCAAGGGAGAACGCGGACACGAGCGGUCUGACCAAUCGCAAUGUGCCAUCUCUACGAUCUUAAAGUGAUUGUAACUGGAGAGAUUCUGAUCUUCCAAUCAUUACGCCAGUAUUAUCUGCGAUUCGUGUGGUUCAUCGCUCGAUGGUACACGUCGCGGCCUCGCGAUGACUGAUCGCCGACACUUAUCGUGAUACGAACUUCCUCAUCUUUCUCCUUGCGGUGAUGAAAAAUCUCGAGAGCACGCUAUUAAGAAGAAAGAAAAGCCGCGAGGAACUUAAGCGCGAGGUCGAACGAGCGGCAUAAGUUUGAUCGAAUCGAAAUUACGAUCUUCUUCCUCCAUCCUUCUGGGAGACUUCGGGCGGCGAUGCAGGUGCGAGUCUUGCACAUGCGAGGAGAACGCGUUUAUACGUAUAUACACAUCUCGCAGUCUCGCAUAGACCACCACAUAGGCAUGCCACGUAGAUACGUAAUAUUUGAUUUCUUGUCGCUAGAAGAAUUUGAAAAAUUACAUGCGCUCUUUUUUAUAAAGUUCAACCCUUACGGAGAUAUCGAUCGAAACGUAUAUAUUAUAUGAGCGUGCUUCUUGUCACCCGCCUGUUUGAAUCUGCUCGUUAUCAUUAUGUGGCUGGAUUUGUGCCGAUAACACGGGCCGCAUACAAUUCUUGCUCUGGGAUCGGACCUGGUCGUGCGAACCCGAACACCUGUCGACGGCCACCAGGUAACGUGACAUCACGUCACGUGAUGAGCCGGCGAGCUGGCGAACGCACCGGGAUCCACCCCCGACGACCCCGUGACGCGUCCCGACAGUAAUCGGUCUAAUCGACGUCCCGGAGACUUAUGCACAGAGUGCUAUCAACGUUCCGUAUCAAUCCUGAAGAAUUAACAAGCGUUUUCGCACGCGGAAAUGCGACUGCUUCUUCCUCGCACGAAAAGGAGGCCGCCUCUCACGCAUCGAGCCCGCUGUUGUAUACCACGGAACAGGACAGGACGGUACCCAAGAAGGUCGCGUGUCUACUCCUUAGUCUCGUUUCACCGCUGCCACCCUUCAACCCUCUCCCUCUACAGGAAGUACGAAUUCUCCUUUCACCCUCGCACAAAGUCACGUAUCGUGACGCCCAUUGUUUCACAACUUGGGCAAAGUUAUCUCAUCAAGUCGUCACGAGGACGCCCUUUCCUUCUCUACCUCUCUUUUUACCCCUCCUCUCUCCCGCUCCAAGUCCUGAUUAAACUUUUCUUACUUUUGCGGCUCGAGGUAUUUAUAAUCUCGCGCCGCUCCGCGCUCUCUCAGAACCGCAGAAUCGUUAUCAGGGCUUAACUAAUUAGCGGCAUUUCGGCGAAAAAAUCAU
rnacentral:lncRNA from 1 species